rnacentral:rRNA from 1 species
GACGAACGCUGGCGGCGUGCUUAACACAUGCAAGUCGAACGGAAAGGCCCUGCUUUUGUGGGGUGCUCGAGUGGCGAACGGGUGAGUAACACGUGAGUAACCUGCUCUUGACUUUGGGAUAACUUCAGGUAACUGGGGCUACUACCGGAUAGGAGCUCCUGCUGCGUGGUGGGGGUUGGAAAGUUUCGGCGGUUGGGGAUGGACUCGCGGCUUAUCAGCUUGUUGGUGGGGUAGUGGCUUACCAAGGCAUUGACGGGUAGCCGGCCUGAGAGGGUGACCGGCCACAUUGGGACUGAGGUACGGCCCAGACUCCUACGGGAGGCAGCAGUGGGGAAUAUUGCACAAUGGGCGGAAGCCUGAUGCAGCAACGCCGCGUGCGGGAUGACGGCCUUCGGGUUGUAAACCGCUUUCGCCUGUGACGAAGCGUGAGUGACGGUAAUGGGUAGAGAAGCACCGGCUAACUACGUG